rnacentral:rRNA from 1 species
UACGGGGGGGGCAAGCGUUGUUCGGAAUUACUGGGCGUAAAGGGCGCGUAGGCGGCUUGGUAAGUCAGAUGUGAAAGCCCGGAGCUCAACUCCGGAAUGUCAUUUGAUACUAUUAAGCUAGAGUGUGGAAGAGGCAAUUGGAAUUCCUGGUGUAGCGGUGAAAUGCGUAGAUAUCAGGAAGAACAUCGGUGGCGAAGGCGGAUUGCUGGGCCAACACUGACGCUGAGGCGCGAGAGCUAGGGGAG